UGAUAAGAAAAAAUAGAUGACAAGAUAUGAAACUAAACUGAAUAACAGAUUUCACUUGUUGAUAUAUGGUGACAUAUCUUUUUUGAUAAGAUAUAUAUUUGAUAAUGUUUAUAUGGAUGUUAGAGUUAUUCUGGAUUUUUGAUAUUAGAUUUCAUGCUCUAUUAUUUAUUGCUAUUUUCAAACUAUAUUACUAUAUUGGUGUAUAUGUUCGUAGUUCUUAGUGGGCUGUAAAGCUCACUCCCUCUAUUUUUUUUCUUUUUAGAGUUGUAGGAUGUUCAUGAUUGAUUAUGAUUUGGAUUCGCGACGAG
rnacentral:lncRNA from 1 species